GAUGAACGCUGGCGGCGUGCCUAAUACAUGCAAGUCGAGCGAACAGAUGAGGAGCUUGCUCCUCUGACGUUAGCGGCGGACGGGUGAGUAACACGUGGAUAACCUACCUAUAAGACUGGGAUAACUUCGGGAAACCGGAGCUAAUACCGGAUAAUAUAUUGAACCGCAGGGUUCAAUAGUGAAAGACGGUUUUGCUGUCACUUAUAGAUGGAUCCGCGCCGCAUUAGCUAGUUGGUAAGGUAACGGCUUACCAAGGCAACGAUGCGUAGCCGACCUGAGGGGGUGAUCGGCCACACUAGAACUGAGACGCGGUCCAGACUCCUACGGGAGGCAGCAGUAGGGAAUCUUCCGCAGUGGGCGGAAGCUUGACGGAGCAACCCCGCGUGUGUUAUGAAGGUCUUCGGAUCGUAAAACUCUGUUAUUAGGGAAGAACAAAUGUGUAAGUAACUAUGCACGUCUUGACGGUACCUGAUCAGAAAGCCACGGCUAACUACGUG
rnacentral:rRNA from 1 species